UUCAUUCCGUACAUGCAACAUAUCAACAAGCAUGUAUUGUUUCCAAUCAAAAUCUCUUAUAAAAUUUUGCUAUUUUAAUCAAUACUGUAGUCCUUCGAAUUGAUAUGAAAAAGCAAUUUGUGUAUUUUACGUAAACUUCAAGUUCCUCAAAUUUUCGUUUGAUUUGGGGUGCUUCAUCCCUUCUCCAAUGAAGAAUACUAGAAAGAAGAAAGUUGGGAUUGAUGGUAUACUAAACAAUCAAAGUGAGUUGGUUUUGGAUAUAAUUUUUCAUGCGAACAUCCAUCACUGUUGAAGAAACCUAUUUUGAACAUGCAAAAUGAUAGUUUGUUGAAGAAAUCUGCUAUUCCUCAAAAAAGAGGAAUAACAAGAGGAAAAAUAUUUUAGUUUAGCAAGUUGCAAAUUUCGAUUUUGAUGAUGAAAUUCCUUCACACAAGCCU
rnacentral:lncRNA from 1 species